UACGAAGGGGGCUAGCGUUGCUCGGAAUGACUGGGCGUAAAGGGCGCGUAGGCGGUUCGUAUAGUCAGGCGUGAAAUUCCCGGGCUUAACCUGGGGGCUGCGUUUGAUACGUACGGGCUUGAGAUCGGAAGAGGGUCGUGGAAUUCCCAGUGUAGAGGUGAAAUUCGUAGAUAUUGGGAAGAACACCGGUGGCGAAGGCGGCGACCUGGUCCGAUACUGACGCUGAGGCGCGAAAGCGUGGGGAGCAAACAGG
rnacentral:rRNA from 1 species